rnacentral:rRNA from 1 species
AAUCAACGCUGGCGGCGUGCCUAACACAUGCAAGUCGAACGCGAAAGUCCCGCAAGGGAUAAGUAGAGUGGCAAACGGGUGAGUAACACGUGGGUGACCUGCCUUCGAGUGGGGGAUAACGUCCCGAAAGGGACGCUAAUACCGCAAUGACAUCCUGCCUUUGAAGAGGUGGAGAUCAAAGCUGGGGAUCGCAAGACCUAGCGCUUGAAGAGGGGCCCGCGCCUGAUAGCUAGUUGGUGGGGUAACGGCUCACCAAGGCAACGAUCAGUAUCCGGCCUGAGAGGGCGGACGGACACACUGGGACUGAGACACGGGCCCAGACUCCUACGGGAGGCAGCAGUGGGGAAUUGUUCGCAAUGGGCGCAAGCCUGACGACGCAACGCCGCGUGG